rnacentral:miRNA from 1 species
CCUCCGGUCAUCGAGACUGUACAGUCUCGAUGACUGGAGGGAAUCCCUUCCGGCCAUCGAGAUUGUAUGGUCUCGAUGACCGGAGG